GCUAUGUAGGGAAGGGAUAAGCGCUGAAAGCAUCUAAGUGCGAAGCCCCCCUCAAGAUGAGAUUUCCCAUGAUUUUAUAUCAGUAAGAGCCCUGAGAGAUGAUCAGGUAGAUAGGUUAGGAGUGUAAGUGUAGCGAUACAUGUAGCGGACUAAUACUAAUAGCUCGAGGACUUAUCCAA
rnacentral:rRNA from 1 species